AUAAGUGUGUAUAUGACCUGGAAACUUCCAACAGUGAGGCACGUCAGAGCCCAGAAGAAACUGUACCCAUUCCAGGGAACUUCAGCCCCAGACACAGCAACUGACAAGUUCUGACUCUCCAGUCAGCAGCCUUCAGGAAGAGAGAACGGAGUCUUCCUCUAUACCGGAAAUUUCACAGGGAUAGUAUUGCUGGUGACAAGGUGGACAAGCAGUUCUAGGAAGUGCAUUUUGGCUUUAUGAGAGAGCACCCAGAGAAAAGAUCUUCCAUGAAGAUGGAGACAGAGGCAGAAGAACAGGUUAUGGCUUAAAUGCCACAGACUCUCACUGUUCUUCACUGUGCUGUAGUAGAUUUUCUUGAAUGAUUGUCCAUUUACUGGAUAUCCUUAGGACAAUUUCCAGAGACUUUAAAUGAUUGUUGUCUUUAAUAAUUGUAUCUAGUUAAAUGGUUGCCUUGUGGGGCAGGGAGGGAGUCUGCCAAGCUCAUCACUCUACCAUUCUGUAUGUCCUGCUUUCCAUGAUAUGGUAUAGCUUUCCAUUUGUGAAGAAAAAAAACAAAUCGUAAGCUGUAACAUAUCAUGUCACUGACUUUGCAUUGAAUUGUUUUCAUGGGAUGCCUGGGUGGCCUAGUGGUUAAGCACCUGUCUUUGGCCCAGGGCAUGAUCCUAGAGUCCCAGGAUCGAGUCCCAUUUCGGGCUCCCUGCAUGGAGCCUG